rnacentral:snoRNA from 1 species
AAUGAUGAACAACAUGGGACUUAAUACUGAUAUGUGAUGUCUCUUUUAUAUUCUGA